rnacentral:rRNA from 1 species
AACGCUAGCUACAGGCUUAACACAUGCAAGUCGAGGGGCAGCAUUUUAGUUUGCUUGCAAACUAAAGAUGGCGACCGGCGCACGGGUGAGUAACACGUAUCCAACCUGCCGAUAACUCGGGGAUAGCCUUUCGAAAGAAAGAUUAAUAUCCGAUAGUAUAUUAAAACCGCAUGGUUUUACUAUUAAAGAAUUUCGGUUAUCGAUGGGGAUGCGUUCCAUUAGUUUGUUGGCGGGGUAACGGCCCACCAAGACUACGAUGGAUAGGGGUUCUGAGAGGAAGGUCCCCCACAUUGGAACUGAGACACGGUCCAAACUCCUACGGGAGGCAGCAGUGAGGAAUAUUGGUCAAUGGACGAGAGUCUGAACCAGCCAAGUAGCGUGAAGGAUGACUGCCCUAUGGGUUGUAAACUUCUUUUAUAUGGGAAUAAAGUAUUCCACGUGUGGAAUUUUGUAUGUACCAUAUGAAUAAGGAUCGGCUAACUCCGUGCCAGCAGCCGCGGUAAUACGGAGGAUCCGAGCGUUAUCCGGAUUUAUUGGGUUUAAAGGGAGCGUAGGUGGAUUGUUAAGUCAGUUGUGAAAGUUUGCGGCUCAACCGUAAAAUUGCAGUUGAAACUGGCAGUCUUGAGUACAGUAGAGGUGGGCGGAAUUCGUGGUGUAGCGGUGAAAUGCUUAGAUAUCACGAAGAACUCCGAUUGCGAAGGCAGCUCACUAGACU